rnacentral:rRNA from 1 species
AGUCAAGUAAUUAAGUGCAUGUGGUGGAUGCCUUGGCAGUCAGAGGCGAUGAAAGACGUGAUAGCCUGCGAAAAGCUCCGGGGAGGCGGCAAAUAUCCUUUGAUCCGGAGAUGUCUGAAUGGGGGAACCCACCUACUUUAAGGUAGGUAUUGCAACAUGAAUACAUAGUGUUGCAAGGCGAACGAGGGGAAGUGAAACAUCUCAGUACCCUUAGGAAAAGAAAUCAAUUGAGAUUCCCUCAGUAGCGGCGAGCGAACGGGGAUCAGCCCAUUAAGUUAUGUGUGUUUUAGUGGAACGCUCUGGGAAGUGCGAACGUAGAGGGUGAUAUUCCCGUACACGAAAGGGCACACAUAAUGAUGACGAGUAGGGCGAGGCACGUGAAACCUUGUCUGAAUAUGGGGGGACCAUCCUCCAAGGCUAAAUACUCCUGACUGACCGAUAGUGAACCAGUACCGUGAGGGAAAGGCGAAAAGAACCCCUGUGAGGGGAGUGAAAUAGAUCCUGAAACCGCAUGCAUACAAGCAG